rnacentral:lncRNA from 1 species
UAAUUCUUAAUAGAAUCUUAUCUAUUCAUAAUAAUGUCGACAUGGUCCAUCCAAUACUAUACUUCCAACUACUCACAAGCAACCAAUCCUUGGCGAUCUUUGAAUUGUCCUUUGAUAGUUGUUUAAUUAUCUUAGUCAAAAACCGAUUCUUGUCCUUUUUCCCUCUAAAUGCGCUAGACAUUUGGAAAAUUUUAGAAUGGUCAAAUACAAUAGCAUUUGCAAUCGAUCCUAUACUCGAAGCGUAUGGGACACAAUGCAUAAUGUGUUCCAUAAAGAUUUGAUACUUUAUCAAUCUUCUGCCAUAAUAUUUUAUGUGCUACGUUCUCAAAAUUCGAACUAUGAAGAGGAAUGUUGUAAUCAUAAUCGAAAUUUGAGAGAACACUAUGUAUCCUUGACUAAAUUUAUUAACAUUCCACAACCUAAGCCUUUAGAUUUGAAAUGAAGCAUAAUAUUCUCUCCCUUAAUUAUAGCAAAACAACUAUUCAACCUUUACAACUUUGCAAGGUAUGACUCUUGUUUUCUAUAAUUAAUAUUGCUAACUUGCAAUACUUGUCUUAAUAAUCAUAUAAUCAUAACAUUUACGCUCCCACUAUCAAGAUGAUUAUUAUAAACAUAACACUUAUGCACCCACUAGCUUUGACAUGUAUUCAGAAAUAGCUUACCUUUCAGAAAAACAAUACCUAUUGAAUUUCUUAAGUCCAUAUUUCUAAUACCUAAGGCUCUGAUAAUUCUUUAUCUAAGCUUAUACACCUUUCCCUUAGAUAGCUCAUAUGUGUGUCUAAAACAAUUCAGACUAAUUCCAAAUCUCACAAUUCGAAUAAUGGAAAGGGAUACCGUAACCAUAAUCGAAUUUGAGAAUACAAUUUCACGAUCACUAUCUUCUUAAAAUCUCCCUUAGUGAAAGCAUUUCCUCACAUUCAUUUUCAUGAAGGAGGGAAUCUUAUGACACUUAGAUUUUAAUGGUGUAUGUGUUCCUAUCCAUGAGAAUUUGUCAAAACCAAUGUUUACAACAAAUUCAAACUCAUAUGGACCAAACUUCGUUAAUCUUGAUUUCUUGCCUUAUGGUAGCACAACUGCCCACCAUGUCUUCCAAGUAGUUAAGUAGCUCACCCUUUCCUAUCAAUGUACUUUUCAUUGAUCAAGGUCCUUGCCUUUUAUGCAUUCAAAUGAGAACUCACAUGCAUAAUUAACUUAACUGGAACGGCACAAAAACAAAAUAAUGUCAACACGAUAGGUUGUAAUCCUCAACUUGUGUGCUAGUGAUGAUUGAUAAGGUCUAUUUUGAUUUGUUCUUGAAACCUUUCAAGACCAUUCAGACUCCCACUGACUCCUUGACAUAUAAGAUUCUCUUGUCAAUAAACAUUUCUUGACNAUUAACAUUCCACAACCUAAGCCUUUAGAUUUGAAAUGAAGCAUAAUAUUCUCUCCCUUAAUUAUAGCAAAACAACUAUUCAACCUUUACAACUUUGCAAGGUAUGACUCUUGUUUUCUAUAAUUAAUAUUG